rnacentral:lncRNA from 10 species
UGAGUUAGGAAGCUGGUCAGGAGGGCAUGUCCAAGGAGCAUCGUCAUCACAGCCCCAGCCUUGUGCCCCUCACAGGCUGCCCCCAGCAGCCCCUGAGGUCAGGAGCCCUUCUGAUGACUGAGGGUAGGGAAUGGUCCUCUGACUUCUGGCUGGGAUACAUUCUGGCCUCAGAGGCUCCUUCCUCUCCUCCAAGGAGGCGAUUAAAAUCCUCUGCCACUUCCUGGCUCUGUAGCUCCACCUUAGAAUCCUUCUCUGAGUCACAGAAAGGGUGAACACAGAAAUGCUCCCCCCAUACCCCACCUCCUUUGACUUCUCGGGCUGCAUUUAAAACAAGUGGUGAGAUGGUGUUUGUGGAAGCUUUGGAAACUAUAAAGUGGCUCUCUGGAGGUUCGUGACCAUCCCUGGGAUCCACUCUCAGCCUCUCCAUAGAUGGGCAGAGUGCACGUCUUAAAUGCACACUGAAUCCUGUGCUGCUUAAACCCCUUCAGUGCUCUCCCACUGCACUUAGAAUAAAACCCUUGCCCCUUGCUCUGGUCCUUUCAGCCGCACAGAAUGGAACCUUCUUUCAGGGAAAGCACCACACCCUCCUGUCCAUUCCUCAAGGGUGCCCAGCUAAGCCCAUUCUCCUCAGGCCUUCUGCCUGAACUCUCCUGCCCACCUCUUCCUGUGAGAAGCCUUUCCUGACCCCCUGAUCUAAGCCAACCCCUUUGUAAUUCUAUUAAAUUCCUUUUCGCUGUCUGUUUCUCUCUGUAGAUUACCUGUCCAUGAGGGCAGAGACCUCAUCUAUUUUAUUUUUGUAUCCCCA